rnacentral:lncRNA from 1 species
GGCCGGUUAUGGGUCAGUUAUGGGGCCGGUUAUGGGGCAGUUAUGGGGCAGUUAUGGGUCAGUUAUGGGUCAGUUAUGGGUCAGUUAUGGGGCAGUUAUGGGGCAGUUAUGGGUCAGUUAUGGGUCAGUUAUGGGUCAGUUAUGGGGCAGUUAUGGGGCAGUUAUGGGGCAGUUAUGGGGCCGGUUAUGGGGCAGUUAUGGGGCAGUUAUGGGGCCGGUUAUGGGGCAGUUAUAGGGCAGUUAUGGGGCGGUUAUGGGGCAGUUAUGGGGCCGGUUAUGGGGCCGUAACGGCCUCGGGGGGGCGCUGCGCGUCUCUAUGUGGGUGGUCGUUGAGAUGAAGCCCCAGCCCGGAAGUCCCCCCCCCCUUUCGGAAGUGACGUCAUCACCCCGCGCCGUUCGUACCGUGUCGGGGUUGGCCCGUAGUGGGGGCGGGGUCGCGGCGGCGGCGGCGCCGAGAGCGAAUAACAGCGCCGGGAGCGGCGCCAUGGCGGCCCCUUUAAGAGCCCGAGUCACGUGAGCAACGCGCCGCACACACGUGACCGGAAGUAGAGGGGCGGGGCCUUCGUCUUAAAGGGGCAACGCGGUGGGGCCCACCAAGAAACGGAAUAUUCGAUUUGCGGGAUUUUGGGGGUUUUUUUUGGGUAUAAAAACGGCGUUUUCGGGCAAUUUGGUGCCUUUGGCUCGUCUGAGGUUGGGGGUGGGGUCACGGGGUGGGGGUCACGUGCACAACGGGGCCCUUUAAAUCGGCGCGCUCUGAUGACGUCACUGCGAUGCGCGCGGUGUUGACGUAACUUCCAGGCGCUCGUUGAUGACGUCACUGAGAUGCGCCGUGGGAGCAGGAGGCGGAAGUGAGGGCCGUGUGCAACCCCAACCCCAACCCCAUUACCCCCCAUUGAUCCCCUAUAGCCCCCCAUUACCCCUCAUUAAACCCCUAUUGCCCCCCAUUAUCCCCUAUUUACCCCCAUUGACCCCCUAUAGACCCCCAUUAACCCUCAUUUACCCCCAUA